AACGUAGGCAGCGAGCGUUGUUCGGAGUUACUGGGCGUAAAGGGUGUGUAGGCGGUUGUUUAAGUUUGGUGUGAAAUCUCCCGGCUCAACUGGGAGGGUGCGCCGAAUACUGAAUGACUUCGAGUGCGGGAGAGGAAAGUGGAAUUCCUGGUGUAGCGGUGAAAUGCGUAGAUAUCAGGAGGAACACCGGUGGUGUAGACGGCUUUCUGGACCGUAACUGACGCUGAGACACGAAAGCGUGGGUAGCAAACAGG
rnacentral:rRNA from 1 species